rnacentral:rRNA from 1 species
AUGCUUCUACUUUCUGUAUGGAGCUGGGAGCGUCUGCCUGUUGGACGCCUGAAGAGUGUCAGGUUUAAUCCUUGGUAUGAAGAUGAAGAUGACGAAUUACGGCGCCCCACUUGGGCUUACAAGUGGGAUGUGGUUUCCGAGAUGACGAACAAUGUCAAUCUCAUGCACCAGAAGUACGUUGCCGAGUUGGACACGAUUACGCCUGAGCAAGUUGAAUGGCAGCCAUAUGGCGCCGAUGACAGACUUGGGUACACCCCAAUGUUUACCAUCAACCCGAUGUGCUUGCGGGGUAGGGAUCUCUGGCUUAUGCGGUGCCCACUGAUAUGCAACUGGGCUGUUGAGUUUCAUUUGCCACAUCGCGUGUUUCGUCAGUUUGGUCUGUUCCAGCCUCACCCGCCGGAAUGGGUGGAUACGGACAAAGCACUUCAUAGGUUGGACAGGAGAAGGCAAUGGAAGAUAAAGGACUGGGACAAGCAUCAUGCUUCGUAUGUUACCCGCUUCCAGCUUUGUGUGGAGGAAGCUCGUAGCAGUGCACGCGCCAAGCUUCGUGAGCAUAGUCCACUUGCUUUUGAUAACUACAUACAAUGGCUUCUUGAAAAUACUCGAGUUGAGAUAUGCCCGCCGGCAUAUAAUGAGGAUAUUCUUGAAGAACCCGUAAACUUUGAGGAUCUAUCAAAGGGGAAGUACAGCAGAGAUAUCAGGGUAGGGCACGGAGUCCCUGCUGUUCCGGUGAUUAACUAUGUGCGCACCGAGAUCAAGAAAGCAGCUGAUGAGAGCCAGUCUAUUCUGGAGGGAACACCGGUUGGAAAAGGCAAUGAUGAUGGUUCACUACGAGCAUUUCUCAAGCGUCAGGCCAAGAAGUUAAGGCGAUUAUCGAAUCUUCUCGGUUGCCGCGAUCCCGAAUUUGAUGAACCAUCUGCCUCUAGGUCUGGUACACCAUCAGACCCCUCAUCUCACCAUCAGAGGGAUGAUUGA